rnacentral:rRNA from 1 species
AGUGAACGCUGGCGGUAGGCCUAACACAUGCAAGUCGAACGGCAGCACAGUAAGAGCUUGCUCUUACGGGUGGCGAGUGGCGGACGGGUGAGGAAUACAUCGGAAUCUACUUUUUCGUGGGGGAUAACGUAGGGAAACUUACGCUAAUACCGCAUACGACCUACGGGUGAAAGCAGGGGAUCUUCGGACCUUGCGCGAUUGAAUGAGCCGAUGUCGGAUUAGCUAGUUGGCGGGGUAAAGGCCCACCAAGGCGACGAUCCGUAGCUGGUCUGAGAGGAUGAUCAGCCAAACUGGAAAUGAGACACGGUCCAGACACCUACGGGAGGCAGCAGUGGGGAAUAUUGGACAAUGGGCGGAAGCCUGAUCCAGCCAUACCGCGUGGGUGAAGAAGGCCUUCGGGUUGUAAAACCCUUUUGUUGGGAAAGAAAAGCAGCAGGUUAAUACCCCGCUGUUCUGACGGUAACCAAAGAAUAAGCACCGGCUACCUUCGUG